rnacentral:rRNA from 1 species
GACGAACGCUGGCGGCGUGCUUAACACAUGCAAGUCGAACGAGACGAUUGAAAGCUUGCUUUCGAAAGUCGAGUGGCAAACGGGUGAGUAACGCGUAGACAACCUGCCUUUGAGAUGGGGACAACAGUUCGAAAGGACUGCUAAUACCGAAUGUUGUAUAUUUUCCACAUGGAAGAUAUAUUAAAGAUGGCCUCUAUUUAUAAGCUAUCGCUCAAAGAUGGGUCUGCGUCUGAUUAGCUAGUUGGUGGGGUAACGGCCUACCAAGGCGACGAUCAGUAGCCGGUCUGAGAGGAUGAACGGCCACAGUGGGACUGAGACACGGCCCAGACUCCUACGGGAGGCAGCAGUGGGGAAUCUUCCACAAUGGACGAAAGUCUGAUGGAGCAACGCCGCGUGAGUGAAGAAGGGUUUCGGCUCGUAAAGCUCUGUUGUCGGGGACGAAUGUGCAGUAUUUGAAUAAAGUAGUGUAAUGACGGUACCUGACGAGGAAGCCACGGCUAACUACGUGCCAGCAGCCGCAGUAA